rnacentral:rRNA from 1 species
CCCUUAGAUGUUCUGGGCUGCACGCGCGCUACACUGGUGCACUCAACAAGUUUACAACCUUGAUCGAUAGGUCUGGGUAAUCUUUUGAAUAUGCACCGUGCUAGGGAUAGAUUAUUGCAAUUAUUAAUCUUGAACGAGGAAUUCCUAGUAAAUGCAAGUCAUCAGCUUGCGUUGAUUACGUCCCUGCCCUUUGUACACACCGCCCGUCGCACCUACUGAUUGGAUGACUCGGUGAAGCCUCGGGAUUGUGGCCGGUGCAUUUAUUUGUGUCGGUUGCGAGAACUUGUCCAAACCUUAUCAUCUAGAGGAAGGUGAAGUCGUAACA